rnacentral:rRNA from 1 species
UGGGGAAUUUUGGACAAUGGGCGCAGGCCUGAUCCAGCCAUGCCGCGUGCAGGAUGAAGGCCUUCGGGUUGUAAACUGCUUUUGUACGGAACGAAAAGGUGCCUUCUAAUAAAGGGCGCUCAUGACGGUACCGUAAGAAUAAGCACCGGCUAACUACGUGCCAGCAGCCGCGGUAAUACGUAGGGGGCAAGCGUUGUCCGGAUUUACUGGUGUAAAGGGCGCGCAGGCGGGAUAAAAAGUCAGUGGUGAAAUCCUACAGCUUAACUGUAGAACUGCCUUUGAUACUUUUAUUCUUGAGUUCGGGAGAGAGAGACGGAAUUCCAGGUGUAGUGGUGAAAUACGUAGAUAUCUGGAAGAACACCAGUUGCGAAGGCGGUCUCUUGGUCCGACACUGACGCUGAGGCGCGAAAGCGUGGGGAGCAAACA